rnacentral:rRNA from 1 species
UUCGUAGGUGGCCUGCCAAGUCAGACGUGAAAUCCCUCGGCUCAACCGGGGAACUGCGUCUGAAACUGACGGGCUUGAGUACAGGAGAGGAACGCGGAAUUCCAGGUGUAGCGGUGAAAUGCGUAGAUAUCUGGAGGAACACCGGUGGCGAAGGCGGCGUUCUGGACUGUUACUGACACUGAGGAACGAAAGCCAGGGGAGCAAACG